GCUUGCAGCUAGCUCUCUGCAACUCUUGGUCACCCACUGAAGCUAAGCAGGGCAGUGUCUGUUCAGUACCUGAAUGGUAGACCACAUGGGAAAGCCAGGUUGCUGCCGGAA
rnacentral:rRNA from 1 species